UAAGUUGGGCACUCUAGAGAGACUGCCAGGGAUAACCUGGAGGAAGGUGGGGAUGACGUAAAAUCAUCAUGCCCCUUAUGCUUAGGGCUACACACGUGCUACAAUGGGUAGUACAGAGGGUUGCAAAGCCGUAAGGUGGAGCUAAUCCCUUAAAGCUACUCUCAGUUCGGAUUGUAGGCUGAAACUCGCCUACAUGAAGCUGGAGUUACUAGUAAUCGCAGAUCAGA
rnacentral:rRNA from 1 species